UUAAGCGACUAAGCGUACACGGUGGAUGCCCUGGCAGUCAGAGGCGAUGAAGGACGUGCUAAUCUGCGAAAAGCGUCGGUAAGGUGAUAUGAACCGUUAUAGCCGGCGAUGUCCGAAUGGGGAAACCCAGUGCAAUUCGUUGCACUAUCGUUAACUGAAUACAUAGGUUAACGAGGCGAACCGGGGGAACUGAAACAUCUAAGUACCCCGAGGAAAAGAAAUCAACCGAGAUUCCCCCAGUAGCGGCGAGCGAACGGGGAGCAGCCCAGAGUCUGAAUCAGCUUGUGUGUUAGUGGAACGGUCUGGAAAGUCCGACGGUACAGGGUGAUAGUCCCGUACACCAAAAUGCACAGGUUGUGAACUCGAAGAGUAGGGCGGGACACGUGGUAUCCUGUCUGAAUAUGGGGGGACCAUCCUCCAAGGCUAAAUACUCCUGACUGACCGAUAGUGAACCAGUACCGUGAGGGAAAGGCGAAAAGAACCCCGGCGAGGGGAGUGAAAAAGAACCUGAAACCGUGUACGUACAAGCAGUGGGAGCACCUUCGGGUGUGACUGCGUACCUUUUGUAUAAUGGGUCAGCGACUUAUAUUCUGUAGCAAGGUUAACCGUAUAGGGGAGCCGCAGGGAAACCGAGUCUUAACUGGGCGUUAAGUUGCAGGGUAUAGACCCGAAACCCGGUGAUCUAGCCAUGGGCAGGUUGAAGGUUGGGUAACACUAACUGGAGGACCGAACCGACUAAUGUUGAAAAAUUAGCGGAUGACUUGUGGCUGGGGGUGAAAGGCCAAUCAAACCGGGAGAUAGCUGGUUCUCCCCGAAAGCUAUUUAGGUAGCGCCUCGUGAACUCAUCUUCGGGGGUAGAGCACUGUUUCGGCUAGGGGGUCAUCCCGACUUACCAACCCGAUGCAAACUACGAAUACCGAAGAAUGUUAUCACGGGAGACACACGGCGGGUGCUAACGUCCGUCGUGAAGAGGGAAACAACCCAGACCGCCAGCUAAGGUCCCAAAGUCAUGGUUAAGUGGGAAACGAUGUGGGAAGGCACAGACAGCCAGGAUGUUGGCUUAGAAGCAGCCAUCAUUUAAAGAAAGCGUAAUAGCUCACUGGUCGAGUCGGCCUGCGCGGAAGAUGUAACGGGGCUAAACCAUGCACCGAAGCUGCGGCAGCGACACUAUGUGUUGUUGGGUAGGGGAGCGUUCUGUAAGCCUGCGAAGGUGUGCUGUGAGGCAUGCUGGAGGUAUCAGAAGUGCGAAUGCUGACAUAAGUAACGAUAAAGCGGGUGAAAAGCCCGCUCGCCGGAAGACCAAGGGUUCCUGUCCAACGUUAAUCGGGGCAGGGUGAGUCGACCCCUAAGGCGAGGCCGAAAGGCGUAGUCGAUGGGAAACAGGUUAAUAUUCCUGUACUUGGUGUUACUGCGAAGGGGGGACGGAGAAGGCUAUGUUAGCCGGGCGACGGUUGUCCCGGUUUAAGCAUGUAGGCUGGUUGUCCAGGCAAAUCCGGAUAAUCAAGGCUGAGGUGUGAUGACGAGGCACUACGGUGCUGAAGUAACAAAUGCCCUGCUUCCAGGAAAAGCCUCUAAGCAUCAGGUAACAUUAAAUCGUACCCCAAACCGACACAGGUGGUCAGGUAGAGAAUACCAAGGCGCUUGAGAGAACUCGGGUGAAGGAACUAGGCAAAAUGGUGCCGUAACUUCGGGAGAAGGCACGCUGGUGUGUAGGUGAAGUCCCUGCGGAUGGAGCUGAGACCAGUCGAAGAUACCAGCUGGCUGCAACUGUUUAUUAAAAACACAGCACUGUGCAAACACGAAAGUGGACGUAUACGGUGUGACGCCUGCCCGGUGCCGGAAGGUUAAUUGAUGGGGUUAUCCGUAAGGAGAAGCUCUUGAUCGAAGCCCCGGUAAACGGCGGCCGUAACUAUAACGGUCCUAAGGUAGCGAAAUUCCUUGUCGGGUAAGUUCCGACCUGCACGAAUGGCGUAAUGAUGGCCAGGCUGUCUCCACCCGAGACUCAGUGAAAUUGAACUCGCUGUGAAGAUGCAGUGUACCCGCGGCAAGACGGAAAGACCCCGUGAACCUUUACUAUAGCUUGACACUGAACAUUGAGCCUUGAUGUGUAGGAUAGGUGGGAGGCUUUGAAGCGUGGACGCCAGUCUGCGUGGAGCCAACCUUGAAAUACCACCCUUUAAUGUUUGAUGUUCUAACGUUGGCCCCUUACCGGGGUUGCGGACAGUGUCUGGUGGGUAGUUUGACUGGGGCGGUCUCCUCCCAAAGCGUAACGGAGGAGCACGAAGGUUAGCUAAUCCUGGUCGGACAUCAGGAGGUUAGUGCAAUGGCAUAAGCUAGCUUGACUGCGAGCGUGACGGCGCGAGCAGGUGCGAAAGCAGGUCAUAGUGAUCCGGUGGUUCUGAAUGGAAGGGCCAUCGCUCAACGGAUAAAAGGUACUCCGGGGAUAACAGGCUGAUACCGCCCAAGAGUUCAUAUCGACGGCGGUGUUUGGCACCUCGAUGUCGGCUCAUCACAUCCUGGGGCUGAAGUAGGUCCCAAGGGUAUGGCUGUUCGCCAUUUAAAGUGGUACGCGAGCUGGGUUUAGAACGUCGUGAGACAGUUCGGUCCCUAUCUGCCGUGGGCGCUGGAGAAUUGAGGGGGGCUGCUCCUAGUACGAGAGGACCGGAGUGGACGCAUCACUGGUGUUCGGGUUGUCAUGCCAAUGGCACUGCCCGGUAGCUAAAUGCGGAAGAGAUAAGUGCUGAAAGCAUCUAAGCACGAAACUUGCCCCGAGAUGAGUUCUCCCUGAGACUUUAAGUCUCCUGAAGGAACGUUGAAGACGACGACGUUGAUAGGCCGGGUGUGUAAGCGCAGCGAUGCGUUGAGCUAACCGGUACUAAUGAACCGUGAGGCUUAACCUU
rnacentral:rRNA from 1 species